AGUUGUUUGAUGGUUAAUCAGACAGUAUCUCUGGCAUUUUAAUGAGUAUAUUUGCAUUUUCCUUAUGAAAAAAUAAUCAUUAGAGAGUAGGUGAAUUGCUCAAGGUCUCCUGGUAAAAUAGAUUAGCAUUCUGAAUCUUCUUGGCUCCCAAGUUGAAUGCUUAGGGAUGUGUUCUUUAUUGUAAAUGAGUCUUUUCAUGGCUAUAUGAUGUAUUAUUGUUAUAAUUCUUCCUAAACUGAAGGGGGUCAAAGCCAAUACCUGCAGUUUCCAUAAAGUUGAUAGUUUGAGAGUUGUUGGUUGGGCUUAGAUUGGGACUGAGAACCUCUUUCCUGUGAAAAUGGAUUUAGUCUCCUGUUACACAUAUAGAAAAGGGAACACAUUAUCAGUAACAGACUAAGGUAAUAGAUUUUUUUUUUUUUUUUUGGUUAAUAGAUUCUUAAUGACUAGUUUAGGAAAGGCUAGGUUAAAGUUGCUUGGGUGAAGGUGCAUAUGACAUCAGCAUAUUUUUGGUUUGUAAUGCCUGGAGAAAUAGAAGCCAGAAGAUGGGCAAAUGAACAUUAGAUUCUGUUGUAGAACUUGAACAUAAAAAUACUCAUUAAAUGCAAUAUUAAGUAGCCAAUUUAAAUGCUCAGCUCAGGAAGUGCCAAAUUUAAGGUGCUCAGAACAACAUUAACUCAUUCACCUGACACUUGCGGUCUGCAUUGUGGUAACUCAUAAGGGAUCUCAGGUCCAUUAUAAACAUUGUGCUUUGAGAUCCAUGGGUCAUUGACUGACAGGGAAACUAUGGGAAACUAAGCUGGGAGGGGGUAUUACCAUUGGUACCUUUGAUGAAGGGUUUGUUAGGUUUGUUUAUUUUAGUUGAGCUGUGGGAGCAUUUACUUGUUUACUUCUUUGCUACUGAAGAUAACCAUCAAGUAUAUUUUAUUGAGCUUUCUUGAAUUGGCAACAACUGCUACCUCUGCAGGAUAAAAGAGGGGGGAGCCAACUUUCCAAUACUUAACCAUCUGCUGGGAAGUUUAUAUUUGUUCGUCCACGUAAUGUUAAUAACAAACCUAUGAAGUGGAUGGUGGUAUCUCUGUUGUAAAGGACAAGAAAAAGUGAUCCCUCUUGAGGGGUCUCAGGUCUGUUACCAGAAUCGUGCUUUGAGGUCUACUGGUCCUCAUACAGAUGGUGAGUGGCAAAGCUGAGAUGGAGAAGGCAGCCUUCUGUAUUAAGCUAGUGUGUUCUUUCGAGGUGCCUAAGGGAUGGCCAUGAGAGUAAGGAAGAGCUUUGGUUCUCCCAUUCUGCUUAAACCAGAGCAGCUCAACUUUGAUCGCUUUUAUAUUUUAGUGUUUUCACAUAAGAUUUCAUUUGGAAAAAGGGUUUUGCUUCUAU
rnacentral:lncRNA from 1 species